GAAUAGGCAAGAGGGCCAACCAUGGAGAAUAGUUAUAUCAGCUGUGUCGGUGAACCCCUCCUGCAUCUGAACUGGCUACAUCGAGGACACAGCAUGAUCAUGCUGAGAUAUGUUUUGAUGUGAGAGGAUGCCAACCCCCAGUCCCAUCAUCGCCACC